AAUCAUCAAAAACCUUUUUUCCCUUUGAACCUUUUUGGUCAGGGAAAAGGAUUUUUGGACUUGGAGGUCCCAUGCUUGCUUUCACCUUUGAAAGCGAGCUCCUCUCAAAUGAAUUAGUGGGGUCUGCUUUGCUGAUCCUUGACGUGAUAAGAUGUUUCUACGUUUUGGAUUUAGCACUGUCCAUUGGACACCUGCUCCUAAUCGUCCCUUGGGACGUUGAUGGUGCUUCGGUCACCGCCAUCUACGUUGGUGGAAGGCUGAGCCCACACAAAAC
rnacentral:misc_RNA from 1 species